CUUGCAUAAGUCCAGCUGACAAAAAACCAUCAACGAUGGCGAUCUCAGAGGGUGAUGAAAUACGAUCAGGUUAAAAUCUCCCAGCACGAUCGCACUAUCGCCCGGUGUCAUGGUUUCAACGAUGGAGUCAACAAAAUUCACAAACGAGUGAUAUCGACGAGCGUUCGAGAUCGCAUCAUUUCGGUGCACAAAAUACGUUGAUGGACUGCGAUGAGUACUCCACCGUCCGAUUGCUUAUCGCUGUUUUGAGGAUUACUGUCGCAACGGAAGACAGAAAAGCAAGAAGGGAACAACAUUCUAUCUUGCACAGCUGAAUCCAAAAAUUCCUAAACUCGAUGUGACAAUAGGUUGCUGUUCUUCCUCUACUACGGGAACAGCGAGA